GAUGAACGCUGGCGGUAUGCUUAACACAUGCAAGUCGAACGGACUCUUCGGAGUUAGUGGCGGACGGGUGAGUAACGCGUGAGAAUCUGGCUUUGGGUUCGGGACAACCACUGGAAACGGUGGCUAAUACCGGAUGUGCCGAGAGGUAAAAGAGAAAUUGCCUGAAGAUGAGCUCGCGUCUGAUUAGCUAGUUGGUGAGGUAAAGGCUCACCAAGGCAGCGAUCAGUAGCUGGUCUGAGAGGAUGACCAGCCACACUGGGACUGAGACACGGCCCAGACUACUACGGGAGGCAGCAGUGGGGAAUUUUCCGCAAUGGGCGAAAGCCUGACGGAGCAGUACCGCGUGAGGGAAGAAGUCUCUUGGGUUGUAAACCUCUUUUCUUAGGGAAGAACAAAAUGACGGUACCUAAGGAAUCAGCAUCGGCUAACUCCGUG
rnacentral:rRNA from 1 species